rnacentral:rRNA from 1 species
GAGUAACACGUAUCCAACCUGCCCUUUACUCGGGGAUAGCCUUUCGAAAGAAAGAUUAAUACCCGAUGGCAUAAUGAUUCCGCAUGGUUUCAUUAUUAAAGGAUUCCGGUAAAGGAUGGGGAUGCGUUCCAUUAGGUUGUUGGUGAGGUAACGGCUCACCAAGCCUUCGAUGGAUAGGGGUUCUGAGAGGAAGGUCCCCCACAUUGGAACUGAGACACGGUCCAAACUCCUACAGGAGGCAGCAGUGGGGAAUAUUGGUCAAUGGGCGCUAGCCUGAACCAGCCAAGUAGCGUGAAGGAUGAAGGCUCUAUGGGUCGUAAACUUCUUUUAUAUAAGAAUAAAGUGCAGUAUGUAUACUGUUUUGUAUGUAUUAUAUGAAUAAGGAUCGGCUAACUCCGUGCCAGCAGCCGCGGUAAUACGGAGGAUCCGAGCGUUAUCCGGAUUUAUUGGGUUUAAAGGGAGCGUAGGUGGACUGGUAAGUCAGUUGUGAAAGUUUGCGGCUCAACCGUAAAAUUGCAGUUGAUACUGUCAGUCUUGAGUACAGUAGAGGUGGGCGGAAUUCGUGGUGUAGCGGUGAAAUGCUUAGAUAUCACGAAGAACUCCGAUUGCGAAGGCAGCUCACUGGACUGCAACUGACA